rnacentral:tRNA from 1 species
GGAAGUGUAGCUCACUGGCAGAGCACCUGUCUAGAAUUCAUGAGGUCUUACCUGGGUUCAAUCUCCAGCACCAUUA